rnacentral:rRNA from 1 species
UACGGGGGGGGCAAGCGUUGUUCGGAAUUACUGGGCGUAAAGGGCUCGUAGGCGGUUUGUCGCGUCGGGAGUGAAAACUCAGGGCUCAACCCUGAGCGUGCUUCCGAUACGGGCAGACUAGAGGUAUGCAGGGGAGAACGGAAUUCCUGGUGUAGCGGUGGAAUGCGCAGAUAUCAGGAGGAACACCGGUGGCGAAGGCGGUUCUCUGGGCAUGACCUGACGCUGAGGAGCGAAAGCAUGGGGAGCGAACAGG